rnacentral:lncRNA from 12 species
AUUCUGGGAAGGGAGUCUCAUGGCUGUUCAUGCCUGUGACCGUCACCAACUUCCCGAUUUCCCCGUCACUUGUUCCGACAAGCCCCAGGCUAGCCCAAAGGAGAAGCCAUUUGUUACUUGCCCCCAGAGGUGGCUCAUCAUCCCAGACCCUGACUUCUGCAGAGGAGAUGUGUAUGCGCUGCGCAGGCCCUCCCCCUCCCGGUCACAGGAAGGGCAAAACGCAUGAGACAGGCAGAUUCACGUGGUGGGUAGCACAAGGACACAGAGGUAACAAGAGCAAACUAGCUUUGGAGACAUCAGGCCAGAAAGGGCAGGACUGUGGAAGAGAAGAGUCCUCUGCUGGAGCCAGGAGAACCAUGAAGGAUCCCAGGCUACCCAAGACGGCCUCGUCCCUGGUCAUCACUGCCCACAGUUGGCAGGACGGCUGACACCUACCCUCAGCAGUGUGGAAGGACUCACGCCUGCAAAGGGGAGAUGCCGAUGCAUGUUGGAUGCCGUCUGAGGUCAGAAACAUCUCGGCCCCAGUUCAGCUGGGAGAAACCUGGAAAGGACAGAUGACCAGAGGCUUAGUCCAGGUGGCCAUGGCCUAGAACAGAAGUCAGGUAUAGGAGGGGCAGCUAACCCUAGAACCCGGGGCCUCCCCUGCGGGGAGGCAGUUGAGAGUCACCAGGCAGCUGACUUGGCACUGUCACUAGUUUAGCUGUCUAACCUUGGCCAAGUCGCAUAAACACUCCCUGGGUGGGGCGCAGAGGAGAAGGCGUAUAGGAAGGUGCCCUGGGAGAGCUCCGGGCAGCGGCCGGAUAAGAGGCAGUGCGGUGUCACGGGCUUUGGAGAGACGUGGGACUGAGUGCAGAUUCUGCCGCUGUGACUUCCUUGCUUUGUGACCUUGAUCAAGUUACAUGACCUCCCCGUGCUUCGGUUUCCUUCUGUGUAAAAUGGAAAACUUAACUGUCUCUUGACUUGCAACGGAGAGUGGUGCUAUCGAAAGUGCUGGUGGUAUCGCCCUCAGCCUCCUCGGGCCCAUGCAGACCUCACCAGCUCUGGAAGCGAGGCUGAGCAUCAGAGAGGGUGUCUGUGGGCCGGAGGGACCCAGCCAAUGGCCAUGCCAAAGACUUGGGUGAACUCAGUGCAUCAUACAGCCCUCUGUCCCCCUCUGGGAAAGCCCAAAACGUCCUUUCUCAUUCAAUGGGAAUGAGAGCGAGGGUUUGAAUAAAUGAGAGGUCAAGUGCGGGGCA